CCUACGGGAGGCUGCAGUAAGGAAUAUUGGACAAUGGUGGCAACACUGAUCCAGCCAUGCCGCGUGCAGGAUGACUGCCCUAUGGGUUGUAAACUGCUUUUAUUUGGGAAAAAACCUCUGUACGUGUACGGAGCUGAUGGUACCAAAUGAAUAAGCAUCGGCUAACUUCGUGCCAGCAGCCGCGGUAAUACGAAGGAUGCAAGCGUUAUCCGGAUUUAUUGGGUUUAAGGGGGGCGUAGAAGGCCGAGGUGAAAUCCCAGAGCUUAACUAUGGAAUUGCCUUUGAUACUAUUAGUCUUGAGUAAGGUUGAGGUUGGCGGAAUGUGCAGUGUAGCGGUGAAAUGCUUAGAUAUUGCACAGAACACCUAUUGCGAAGGCAGCUAACGAAGCCAAAACUGACGCUGAGGCACGAAAGCGUGGGGAUCAAACAGGAUUAGAUACCCUGGUAGUC
rnacentral:rRNA from 1 species